rnacentral:rRNA from 1 species
GAUGAACGCUGGCGGCGUGCCUAAUACAUGCAAGUCGAGCGAACAGACGAGGAGCUUGCUCCUCUGACGUUAGCGGCGGACGGGUGAGUAACACGUGGAUAACCUACCUAUAAGACUGGGAUAACUUCGGGAAGCCGGAGCUAAUACCGGAUAAUAUAUUGAACCGCAUGGUUCAAUAGUGAAAGACGGUUUUGCUGUCACUUAUAGAUGGAUCCGCGCCGCAUUAGCUAGUUGGUAAGGUAACGGCUUACCAAGGCAACGAUGCGUAGCCGACCUGAGAGGGUGAUCGGCCACACUGGCACUGAGACACGGUCCAGACUCCUACGGGAGGCAGCAGUAGGGAAUCUUCCGCAAUGGGCGAAAGCCUGACGGAGCAACGCCGCGUGAGUGAUGAAGGUCUUCGGAUCGUAAAACUCUGUUAUUAGGGAAGAACAAAUGUGUAAGUAACUAUGCACGUCUUGACGGUACCUAAUCAGAAAGCCACGGCUAACUACGUG